rnacentral:rRNA from 1 species
AUAUUGGACAAUGGGCGAAGGCCUAAUCCAGCCAUGCCCCGUCGGUGAAGAAGGCCUUGGGAUUGAAAAGCACUUUAAGUUGGAAGGAAGGGCAGGAAGUUAAUACCUGCCUGAUUUGACGUUACCUACAGAAUAAGCACCGGCUACCUCCGUGCCAGCAGCCGCGGCAAUACGAAGGGUGCAAGUGUUAACCGGAAUUACUGGGCGUAAAGCGCGCGUAGGUGGUUGGUUAAGUUGGAAGUGAAAGCCCCGGGCUCAACCUGGGAACUGCUCUCAAAACUGGCAAGCUAAAGUAUGGCAGAGGGUGGUGGAAUUUCCUGUGUAGCGGUGAAAUGCGUAGAUAUAGGAAGGAACACCAGUGGCGAAGGCGACCACCUGGGCUAAUACUGACACUGAGGUGCGAAAGCGUGGGGAGCAAACA